UUCUUUAUGAUACUGCAGUGACUUGCUUUUUGUAUGUAAUAAAGAGUCUAUAUCUAAAUAAGGUAGUGAGACUACCUUGGGGAGGUCAUCCAAAUCCCAGUCAGGUGGUGGGUGAGUGCUGGGGAGUCUCACCAAGAAAGCAGUAAGACAUGGAUACUCCAUGGCUUGAUGAUUAUAAGGAUUGGUGGCCCAGUUUUACAGGUUCCCUAGUAUAGUUUUUUUGUGCAUUUUACCUGCCCAAGAAGUUGACUAGGUAGCAAAAGCAUCUAUUUAAAAGCUAAGGUAGCUUGAUGAGGCAUACUCCUGGGACCAAAAGAUCAAAUGUAGGGCUGGAUGGAUUUGUGCCUACCUGUCAGUAGGCAGCAUUAAAAAUAAACUAGUUAAAAAGU